AUUGAACGCUGGCGGCAUGCUUUACACAUGCAAGUCGAACGGUAACAGGCCGCAAGGUGCUGACGAGUGGCGAACGGGUGAGUAAUGCAUCGGAACGUGCCCAGUCGUGGGGGAUAACUACUCGAAAGAGUAGCUAAUACCGCAUACGAUCUAUGGAUGAAAGCGGGGGACCGUAAGGCCUCUCGCGAUUGGAGCGGCCGAUGUCAGAUUAGGUAGUUGGUGGGGUAAAGGCUCACCAAGCCAACGAUCUGUAGCUGGUCUGAGAGGACGACCAGCCACACUGGGACUGAGACACGGCCCAGACUCCUACGGGAGGCAGCAGUGGGGAAUUUUGGACAAUGGGCGCAAGCCUGAUCCAGCAAUGCCGCGUGCAGGAAGAAGGCCUUCGGGUUGUAAACUGCUUUUGUACGGAACGAAACGGCUCUGGUUAAUACCCGGGGCUAAUGACGGUACCGUAAGAAUAAGCACCGGCUAACUACGUG
rnacentral:rRNA from 1 species